GCCGUAGCUCAGGGGUAGAGCAUCUGCUUGGCAUGCAGAAAGUCCCUGGUUCAGUCCCCGGCAUCUCCA
rnacentral:tRNA from 1 species